AGAGGCUUAGGAUAGCAUAAUAAACCAAGGGCCUUCAAAGCCCUAAUCGGGAGAGAAAACCUCCCAGCCCCUG
rnacentral:tRNA from 3 species